CCUGCCAUCACUGAGCUUGGGGUCCAGUCAAAAAAGAAGACAGAGGCGGGGGAAAUGGUCAAUAGCAAUCAAAGAAGAAAAGAACUAUAUGGAAAAUAACAGAAAACAAACGGAAGAUCUCCCAGCUUUGCUCAGGAAGUACAGGAUGUAAAAUCAACCCUCUUGCUCCAAGAAAGAGAAAUACCAAAAAGGACCCCAAUCCAUAAGCGUUAACAUCAAGGCCAGGCUUGGACCUAGAAGCAGAACUUGGGAGAGCAAGUG
ensembl:lncRNA